rnacentral:rRNA from 1 species
AUACGGAGGGUGCAAGCGUUGUUCGGAAUCACUGGGCGUAGAGGGCGCGCAGGCGGUUUGGUAAGUCAGAUGUGAAAGCCCACGGCUCAACCGUGGAAGUGCAUUUGAAACUGUCAGACUUGAGUACUAGAGGGGAAAGUGGAAUUCCCGGUGUAGCGGUGAAAUUCGUAGAUAUCGGGAGGAAUACCGGUGGCGAAGGCGACUUUCUGGCUAGAUACUGACGCUGAGGCGCGUAAGCGUGGGGAGCAAACAGGAUUAGAAACCCCAGUAGUCC